GCCGAGAGGGACAUCUUUUUCUUCUCUUGAUCCCAUCUGAUCUCGGAAGCUAAGCUCGGGCCCGGUUAGUACUUGGAUGGGAGACCACCUAGGAAGACCAGGUGCUGUUGGCA
rnacentral:rRNA from 1 species